UAGGUCAGCUACUGCAUUCAGAUUUGCUUGUAGCGCUCACUGACUUCUGGCUAGAAGGGACUACAGGAAAUGCUGAAGAAAUCAUGCCAUUGCGUAGAUUUGCAGAAAGCAGCUUAAUACCUGCCCCAAGGAAUGUAAACAUGGACAACGGCCUUCAGACCCAGAACUUUGGAAGGAUUCUGAGGACUGUCCAUGAUGAAGAGGAAGAUGAUGAAAGAGGGGUCCCAAACUCCCCCCGACUCAAUUCCUGAAGGGAGGAGUGAUCGUGUUAAGAUCUACCCAGAGACCAUCUCUGCACCCCUGCUCCUGGACUGUGUAGCCCUUCCUUCUCACUCCGCUCCUGCAGAUCUUUACAAUAUGAAUUGAUCACAGCAUCCUGAACUUCACCCAGCUGCACGGCUUUAGAGAUGCACUUUCAGGCUUUCCUCCUCUCCGGGUCCUAAUACAGUUACCGACCACUGCAUUUUUUCUGCAUGACUUGACAAUGUUGUCUUUGUUGGCUCUUCCCUGUGUGGAGGUAUCAGGGUCAUUUUUCCAUUUGCCAGAAGAGAAAACAAGCCACAAAAGACAGAGUGACUGCCCAAGGUCAUCCCUCAGGCUGACACAGCUUUGGAAAUAAAUAUGAGUUUCCUGAAUCCCAGUCCAGUGUUCUGUCCUCAACAAUAAAUGAAUGGCCAUCUUAACCACCAGAGAACAACAUUACCCAAUCAUUCGCAUGUCUCUGAAACUGAAGGCCCUCUGGAAAACAGAAGAUAUUUGCAUUUCGGUGGUCUUUGCAGUGUCUGACACUUCCAGUGUUUGUAAAAUCAUUUUUUAAUGCAAUGUAGUGAUGACCUAGAGAGAAAUGGAUUACCUCCAUAAUCAAUUGUAACAAAAUUUGCCAGUCAGGUGCUUUCCUACGUAUUAAUAUGGUUUUGAAACUUUCACUCUGGAGACUUGUUCUUGAUAGGCUUUGGUAUCUAGCCAAUAUUUUAUAGGCAACAUUUUAAUUCAAUAAUACUUUAAGUGCAACAACAAAUUUGACAAAUGAAGCAUCUGUGUGAAAUAUACAAAUUAAAUUCUACAUGGGGAAGGCAAAUCUGAGGCUGUCUGAGCAGAGAUUAUAACAGCAGUAUGAUUUUAAACAUAACACUGAUGAAACUUUGGGAAAAUAUCCUUCCUUUCUUCAUGAGAAAGUAACUCGUAGGCAGAUGUCUACACAUCUUUAAAGUCUGGAGACUCAAUUUCUUUACAGAGUAAUUACUAGAUAACAAAAUUUUAAUCACUGUCUGGACCAUUAAACUUUGGUAAAGGUGACUGAAAUGAUCUCAGGGGAACCAAGAGCUUGUUUAGAACAGGGAUAUUAAGCAGCAGUAACUAAGUAACACAGCGGGAGUGUGAGUCCCAAGAGAAAAUAUGUUACAAUGACAAUGUUUAUUACACAUCUCAAUUACUUUGUACUACGCACUUCAGCUUUCUGCAACAGAAACCUACCACUGCUUCAGGUCUCCAGAAGCCUGAAGCGCUACACAGGUGUCCUGAGUGCCUUCUCUGGUCUUGAGACCAGGUGGCACAGCCUAGUCAUAUUCAUCCUGAAAUUAUAUGGCCUGAAAACGGCCAAUCCAAACUGCCCAAAGUUAAUAGCUUAUCCUAUAUUAAUUCUCAAAUUGUCCCAGGAAUUACCUGGAAGAUUGAUAAUACACUGCAGCUGUGCAUAGGACUGUUUGAACAGUUUAACAGUGCAGGCAGCCUACUUCUGCCCCUCUGCCUAUUCAUUUACUAGUCAAAACAGAGCCAAUGAUGAUCUUUUAGCAAAAACAAUAUGCUUCUCAGGUGUGAUGGACAAAAAAAGAGCUGAAAAAGGAUGGACAAAGAAGAAUGACGAAUGGAGAGGGAAGACAGGGCCAAAGUUCUUAACUGGGAAAGCUCUGAGUUAGCAGUGUUGUAGAUAAAUGUGAGAAAUGCAGGACGGAAGAAGAGAGGAUGCUGCAAUAGUCAAAUUAUGAAAGGUUGAGGGAUGGAACUAGUUAAGGGUUUGGAGCAGCAUCUGCAUUUUAGAGCUACUAGGCAAGAGGAAUCUUCGAAGUUCAGAGUCAGCCAUGGGCAGAGGCUCAGCUGAAGACAAAUCUGAGGUCCAGGGAAGGUGGUGCUAUUCUUGGUGAGCAGAAAGGAAGUAGCAGGGAGGGCUAGGGAGACAAUGUACUGUUGAUUAGGGUUAUCCACCACUAAGCUGGAUCCCCACAAAGCAGAGACAAGCACAAAGCCUGAAAUUCAUCUGACUAGACUUAGACACCUGAACACCUGACAGUCUCUCAGAGGUUUCCAGCUGUGAAGGAAGCCUGCAGUUCAUCUUCAAUAUUACCCAGAAUUAUUAAAAGAGACACAGAGGUCAAAAGAAAAGCAAAAGUGUCUAAAGAAGCUGCCCAGAUUGAGAAUAUUACCCCAACAAUACAUAUUAAAGUGAUCAUCCCUGUCCUACUGAUGUGCUGGUGAGGCAGACCUUCAAUGCAUCCAAGCUCAGGAGGCAAUAGUGGGUGUUAAAAUUAUUCAAGCUGCCCACUUGGCCAAAUACUUGGCCAAGUAUUUGUGGUUGGAGAUGCUGAAGUCCUGCAAGUCAAAGAUCACAGAAGCUACCAGGAAACCCAAAGAGCGCUUGAGAAAUGGGUUCAGCAUCCCUGUACCCAAUCCAGCUUUACUGCUGACAUCUAAACUAAUAAGUAAGUUUAAUAGUAGCCUCUUUACUGCAUAACUGUCGGAAGGUGAUUAACAUGGUUUUGGAACAGGGGCAAAUAACACUCUCUUAGACAAUUCUCAGGGACAAUGUUGGUUUCUGAUGAGUCAGGGACCAUUUCCAGUAGGCCAUCUGGAUACAGACCCUCUGUUUUGAAUUUAAAAAUAGAGGCACAGUAAAAAAAUUUUGGUUGGGUUUGUUGCCUAAAACUGGGAGAAAAAGACUCACCAGGCCAUAUUAGAAUAAGUAAGAUAGAGAGCAGGUCUUUAAUGAAGGCCUUUUGGCGCAAGGAGUACAAAGACGUGCACCCGUGUCCAGGGGUUUCACAAUUUAUGGUCCAAUCCAAGAACUAUCUGCUCCCAGAUCCUCCCCAAAUCUGCCCCCCUGGUACACCUUCCUGGAAUUGAGUCAAAGGUCCCAAGAUCCCUUUCUUCCUCAUCUUCCUCUUCUUCAUGGCGUGUACUGUGUCUGGAGCUUCUCCAAGGUUCCAGGCUUGAAGGUUGCUUUGACUAUGAUGGUAUCUUCUUGUUCCGGCCUGGGGUGCGUAUGUUCUUUAACGAGGUGUAUUUACUAUAGUCCUGCAUUGGAAGGAGGCUAAACAAGCCUAAAGAAUUUAGAAAAUUUGAUAUGAAGUGGGGAAUAGGGUUUGGUAAGUAUUAACUACUGUACUAAAGUGUGAGACUAUACAACUAUACUAAAAAUCUAUAUUUACUACAAAGCUACUUUAAAAUCUACGAAAAGCUAAAAUAUCCUAAAGAUCUUAUGGCAUCAGGUUCAAGGACAAAGAACAGGUUCUGAUACUGUUCAGUGUAUUAUUCCAGAUGUAUCCAGACUCACUAUUCUGGGAUGAAUAAUAGUUUUGCUGCUAGCAAUUUUGCUGUUUCUUAACAGGAGUUUAACCUAGAUGAACUUCAUAUUGGUAGCUAAAGGUAUCAUCUAGGAGUGUGAUACAGAGUGUAAUACAGGUAGUAGUUGGCCAACAGCUGAUGUUUUGUGGUUCUGUGAAUACUGCAAUACAUACAUAAACAUUUGUGGGAAAAAAAUACCUUAUAGUAAUAAACUUUGCCUGGCAAAUUAUGGUGCAAUUUAGUGUGCGUUUUAGUCCCUUUCUUCAUACUACCAGAUAAUCACAUGGACAGGCAGAAUGCUGUGGAUUUCAUUUGUCAAGAUUGUUGCUAAGGAAAAAGAUAUUAAGGACUGAGAAACUCCUGGAAGCUCUUCAUAUGCUGAGGUGCCAAAAGAAGACAGGAGAUUUAACAGCUGAAUCCUGAAAGGCUUUGUGUUGGCAGCCAGCAUAUGACUCAAAGUUUGCUAUUAUCUUUUCUCUCAACAUGGAGAUACAGCCCUGUAAGGACUUAAAGAGAACAGUUGCCUGUCUCAGACAGUUAAGGCCACAGAAGGACUUUCUCAUGAGAUAAGCACAGAAUGGAGUGACAGGAUGUUGCUAACUCCAGGCCUGGCAGAGGCAAGAGUACUGUUGGAGGUGCCCCAAUGGAGGCUUACAAGUGGUGGAGGGAAAUUAGUGAAAAGAAAUCAGAAGAAGAAGAAGAAGAAGAAGAAAUAACAUCAGAAUGCACUUAUGUCACGGUGUGCUGAUUGUGCCUGACAGGACUGCAAGAGUGUUUGUUUCAAAGUGCCUUUACUCCAUGGUCCAACGGUUUUAUUAUUAGUAUAAUAUAUUUUAUUAUAAAAAUGUGUUAUUCCUGGUACUGUACCCUUGUUACCCUUUUUUCCUAUUGGUUCAACAUAAGCCCUCUCCUUAUUUGUCCUACCUGCUUCACCUGUUCUCCCCAGAGACAGUUUCUCAUUUGUCCAGGUUCAUACAGUUCCACCCCUUUUUGCUGUGAUUUGCCACUGUUGAAAUACUCCUCCCAAUUUCUACCCUUUGUUCCAGAAAAGUCCCUGCUCUCCCUAUAAAAACUGGUAUCCAUGUUCAAUAAACAUUCAUUCUGUGUCACAGCAUGACUCUGUGCAGAGCGAUCCUUUCAGGGUCUUGCAUAAGGGGGGUUACAGCUCUCCCCCCGUCAUAGUACCUCCUGAAUAAUCCAUCCAGACAAAAAUUCCCACUGGGACGAACUGUGUAAAGAAGCAACAGGUUGUAUGGGUAUCACUGGUCAAACAAAUAUCACCCCAAGUUAUGGGACAGGUAUCUGCAAUGACCACUGAAGCCCCUGCCAAAUAAGACCUGAA